rnacentral:rRNA from 1 species
GACGAACGCUGGCGGCGUGCUUAACACAUGCAAGUCGAACGGUAAGGCCCUUCGGGGUACACGAGUGGCGAACGGGUGAGUAACACGUGGGUGAUCUGCCCUGCACUUCGGGAUAAGCCUGGGAAACUGGGUCUAAUACCGGAUAGGACCACUGCCUGCAUGGGUGGUGGUGGAAAGCUUUUGCGGUGUGGGAUGGGCCCGCGGCCUAUCAGCUUGUUGGUGGGGUGAUGGCCUACCAAUGCGACGACGGGUAGCCGGCCUGAGAGGGGGACCGGCCAGACAGGGACUGAGAUACGGCCCAGACUCCUACGGGAGGCAGCAGUGGGGAAGAUUGCACAAUGGGCGCAAGCCUGAUGCAGCGACGCCGCGUGAGGGAUGACGGCCUUCGGGUUGUAAACCUCUUUCAGCCCCGACGAAGCGCAAGUGACGGUAGGUGCAGAAGAAGGACCGGCCAACUACGUGCCAGCCGCCGCUGUAA